CCUACGGGAGGCAGCAGUGGGGAAUAUUGCGCAAUGGGCGAAAGCCUGAUGGAGCAACGCCGCGUGAGUGAAGAAGGGUUUCGGCUCGUAAAGCUCUGUUGGUAGUGAAGAAAGAUAGAGGUAGUAACUGGCCUUUAUUUGACGGUAAUUACUUAGAAAGUCACGGCUAACUACGUGCCAGCAGCCGCGGUAAUACGUAGGUGGCAAGCGUUGUCCGGAUUUAUUGGGCGUAAAGCGAGUGCAGGCGGUUCAAUAAGUCUGAUGUGAAAGCCUUCGGCUCAACCGGAGAAUUGCAUCAGAAACUGUUGAACUUGAGUGCAGAAGAGGAGAGUGGAACUCCAUGUGUAGCGGUGGAAUGCGUAGAUAUAUGGAAGAACACCAGUGGCGAAGGCGGCUCUCUGGUCUGCAACUGACGCUGAGGCUCGAAAGCAUGGGUAGCGAACAGGAUUAGAUACCCGAGUAGUC
rnacentral:rRNA from 1 species